GCGGGACGGAGCCGGAGAUGAAAUUAAAAAAUGACGCUGCAAUGUGUUGAGUGCGGCCAAAGAUUGCGAGGCAUUUCGUUCGAGAAGAUCUCCGUUAGGAAUUACGUAAUGAAAAGGCCUAGGCCUGCAGGUAAUGCAUGUAUAGUGUAGCCUAAAUUUCCGAGGCAACCUCAGUGAUUUGACCGUGAUUAACCAAACAUGCUACAGGGGGGCACACAGUCUGAUAACUUUAGACCACAUAGGGAACCAAACGGGAGCGGGACAGGAUUCGGGAGUCUUUCUCUCGGGAUUUUGCAGGACAAGAUUUUGGGGGGGGCAGUCACAUGAUCGGGAUAUGACGUGAGUAUUUUCGUGGGCUCGGGAAGGGAUGGGAGCAACAAUUGAUUCCCGUGUCACCCUCUACCACAGUGGUACU